CCCAGAGGUAUUGAUUGGUGAUUUAUUCAGUACGCUUUUCGUACUUAUUGAUUGCACCAACCUGCGCGGACGCGCAGGUUUUUUUU
rnacentral:sRNA from 2 species